rnacentral:rRNA from 1 species
GUGCACUGGCGGGUGCUAUACAUGCAAGUCGAACGCUUCUUUUCCCACCGGAGCUUGCUCCACCGGGAAAAGAGGAGUGGCGAACGGGUGAGUAACACGUGGGUAACCUGCCCAUCAGAAGGGGAUAACACUUGGAAACAGGUGCUAAUACCGUAUAACAAUCGAAACCGCAUGGUUUCGUUUUGAAAGGCGCUUUACGGUGCCGCUGAUGGAUGGACCCGCGGUGCAUUAGCUAGUUGGUGAGGUAACGGCUCACCAAGGCCACGAUGCAUAGCCGACCUGAGAGGGUGAUCGGCCACAUUGGGACUGAGACACGGCCCAAACUCCUACGGGAGGCAGCAGUAGGGAAUCUUCGGCAAUGGACGAAAGUCUGACCGAGCAACGCCGCGUGAGUGAAGAAGGUUUUCGGAUCGUAAAACUCUGUUGUUAGAGAAGAACAAGGGUGAGAGUAACUGUUCACCCCUUGACGGUAUCUAACCAGAAAGCCACGGCUAACUACGUGCCAGCAGCCGCGGUAAUACGUAGGUGGCAAGCGUUGUCCGGAUUUAUUGGGCGUAAAGCGAGCGCAGGCGGUUUCUUAAGUCUGAUGUGAAAGCCCCCGGCUCAACCGGGGAGGGUCAUUGGAAACUGGGAGACUUGAGUGCAGAAGAGGAGAGUGGAAUUCCAUGUGUAGCGGUGAAAUGCGUAGAUAUAUGGAGGAACACCAGUGGCGAAGGCGGCUCUCUGGUCUGUAACUGACGCUGAGGCUCGAAAGCGUGGGGAGCAAACAGGAUUAGAUACCCUGGUAGUCCACGCCGUAAACGAUGAGUGCUAAGUGUUGGAGGGUUUCCGCCCUUCAGUGCUGCAGCUAACGCAUUAAGCACUCCGCCUGGGGAGUACGACCGCAAGGUUGAAACUCAAAGGAAUUGACGGGGGCCCGCACAAGCGGUGGAGCAUGUGGUUUAAUUCGAAGCAACGCGAAGAACCUUACCAGGUCUUGACAUCCUUUGACCACUCUAGAGAUAGAGCUUCCCCUUCGGGGGCAAAGUGACAGGUGGUGCAUGGUUGUCGUCAGCUCGUGUCGUGAGAUGUUGGGUUAAGUCCCGCAACGAGCGCAACCCUUAUUGUUAGUUGCCAUCAUUUAGUUGGGCACUCUAGCAAGACUGCCGGUGACAAACCGGAGGAAGGUGGGGAUGACGUCAAAUCAUCAUGCCCCUUAUGACCUGGGCUACACACGUGCUACAAUGGGAAGUACAACGAGUCGCGAAGUCGCGAGGCUAAGCUAAUCUCUUAAAGCUUCUCUCAGUUCGGAUUGUAGGCUGCAACUCGCCUACAUGAAGCCGGAAUCGCUAGUAAUCGCGGAUCAGCACGCCGCGGUGAAUACGUUCCCGGGCCUUGUACACACCGCCCGUCACACCACGAGAGUUUGUAACACCCGAAGUCGGUGAGGUAACCUUUUUGGAGCCAGCCGCCUAGAGGUGCCAUACGAUCUUCG